UACGUAGGGGGCAAGCGUUGUCCGGAUUUAUUGGGCGUAAAGAGCGUGUAGGCGGCCAGGUAGGUCUGCUGUGAAAACUCGAGGCUUAACCUCGAGAUGUCGGCGGAAACCAUCUGGCUAGAGUCCGGAAGAGGAGAGUGGAAUUCCUGGUGUAGCGGUGAAAUGCGUAGAUAUCAGGAGGAACACCGGUGGUGUAAACGGCUCUCUGGACCGUAACUGACGCUGAGACACGAAAGCGUGGGUAGCAAACAGG
rnacentral:rRNA from 1 species